GUCCAGACUCCUACGGGAGGCAGCAGUGGGGAAUAUUGCACAAUGGGGGGAACCCUGAUGCAGCGACGCCGCGUGAGUGAAGAAGUAUUUCGGUAUGUAAAGCUCUAUCAGCGGGGACGAAGAUGACGGUACCUGCAGAAGAAGCCCCGGCUAACUACGUGCCAGCAGCCGCGGUAAUACGUAGGUGGCAAGCGUUGUCCGGAUUUACUGGGUGUAAAGGGCGUGCAGCCGGGAAGACAAGUCAGAUGUGAAAUCCCGCGGCUCAACCGCGGAACUGCAUUUGAAACUGUUUUUCUUGAGUAUCGGAGAGGUAAUCGGAAUUCCUAGUGUAGCGGUGAAAUGCGUAGAUAUUAGGAAGAACACCAGUGGCGAAGGCGGAUUACUGGACGACAACUGACGGUGAGGCGCGAAAGCGUGGGGAGCAAACAGGAUUAGAUACCCCAGUAC
rnacentral:rRNA from 1 species